rnacentral:rRNA from 1 species
CCUACGGGAGGCUGCAGUGGGGAAUAUUGGACAAUGGGGGCAACCCUGAUCCAGCCAUGCCGCGUGUGUGAAGAAGGCCUUCGGGUUGUAAAGCACUUUUGUUCGGGAAGCGGUACCGGAAGAAUAAGCACCGGCUAACUUCGUGCCAGCAGCCGCGGUAAUACGAAGGGUGCAAGCGUUACUCGGAAUUACUGGGCGUAAAGCGUGCGUAGGUGGUUCGUUAAGUCUGUCGUGAAAGCCCCGGGCUCAACCUGGGAACGGCGAUGGAUACUGGCGGGCUAGAGUGCGGUAGAGGGUGGUGGAAUUCCCGGUGUAGCAGUGAAAUGCGUAGAGAUCGGGAGGAACAUCAGUGGCGAAGGCGGCCACCUGGACCAGACUGACACUGAGGCACGAAAGCGUGGGGAGCAAACAGGAUUAGAUACCCUUGUAGUC